rnacentral:rRNA from 1 species
UACGUAGGGUGCGAGCGUUAAUCGGAAUUACUGGGCGUAAAGCGUGCGCAGGCGGUUCGUUGUGUCGGCGGUGAAAGCCCCGGGCUUAACCUGGGAAUGGCCGUAGAAACUGGCGAACUGGAGUGUGGCAGAGGGGGGUGGAAUUCCGCGUGUAGCAGUGAAAUGCGUAGAGAUGCGGAGGAACACCGAUGGCGAAGGCAGCCCCCUGGGCUAACACUGACGCUCAGGCACGAAAGCGUGGGGAGCAAACAGG